UACGAAGGGGGCAAGCGUUGUUCGGAAUUAUUGGGCGUAAAGAGCUCGUAGGCGGUUUGUCGCGUCUGCUGUGAAAACUCGGGGCUUAACCCCGGGCCUGCAGUGGGUACGGGCAGACUAGAGUGCGGUAGGGGAGACUGGAAUUCCUGGUGUAGCGGUGAAAUGCGCAGAUAUCGGGAGGAACACCAAUGGCGAAGGCAGCUCGCUGGGACGGUACUGACGCUGAGGCGCGAAAGCGUGGGGAGCGAGUCGG
rnacentral:rRNA from 1 species